rnacentral:lncRNA from 1 species
GUGUUUUCAGGGCCAUGCUCUCUCUGAAGUCUGUAAGGAAGAAUCCUCCUUUUCCUCUUCCAGCUUUUGGUGGUUUCUGGCAUUCCUUGGUUUGUGGGAACCUAAAUUCAGUCUCUGCCUCCAUCUUCAUUCACAUGGCCUCUUCCCUGGGUCUCUGUGUGUUUCUCACAGUCUUCUUAUGAUGUCACCAAUUAUUGGAUUUUGGACCCACCCCACUCUAGUAUGACCUCAUCUUAACUUGAUUAGAUCUGCAAAGUCCGUAUCUCCAAAUAAGAUCACAUUUACUGGCACAGGGAGUUAGAAUUUUAACAUAUCUUUUUAGGGAACACAAUUCACACCACAACACUGGCACAUGAAGAGGGAAUAGGAAGUGUCUGGAUGAAUGUGGGGGAGAGGGUAUUUUCCUCCUCUAUAGUCACUUAGACAGAAAGAAUGUCAUGAAUCAAGCCCAAGGGCUUGAAAUGCUCCAGUGCUUCUGUAGAAAACCAGCAAUGCCUCACUCCUCACUCCAGCAGGAUGCUUUACUUUCCCUGUGAAAAUGUACUAAUUAUGUUGUUGUUGCUGGGGGCGAUGGCUCACGCCUGUAAUCCCAGGACUUUGGGAGGCUGAGAUGAAGAAAUGGAGAACCAGAGAAGUUGCAUGACUUACACAAAGUCACAUAGUUGAUAAGUAUUAGGAGCAGAUUUGGAUCACAGGUUAGUCUGACUAUAUAAAGUUCAUGUUCUUAACCACUGUAUUCUUGCACAGCAUUUAAUUUGACAGAACAAGGCAACAUGAAUCAUUACUCUAUUUUUCUCUAUAUUUUAAUUAUUAAAAUGAAAAUCAUUCACAAGUAAUAAAAGACAACAUUCUCAUUAAAAGAGUCAAGAAACACAAAACUAUAGAAGUCAAAAAAAACCCCAAAAAACUAAGUUCUUCUUUUAUAGUUCACUAGAAUUUUUUUUUUUUUCAGGUAACUACUGGAUAUAGCUUAGUGUAUACAGACAUGUGUAUAGCUUCCUUUACAUAAAUUAAGUAAAAAAUAAUGUAUUAUUCUGUGACUUGCUUUUUUUAAAUGUAGUAAUGUGCCAUGAGAUAUUUUUACGUUUGUAUCUCUAGAUGUAUUUCAUUGGAUUCAGUGGCCCAGCAUUUUAACUAUUCCUGUAGUUCUGGAAUUUAGGCCAUUUCUACUUUUUGCUUUUAAAAGUGCUGCACCAAAGAGCCUUAUAUAUAUGCCUUGGCAGGUACAUUACCUUUGAAUAGGAUUUGAAUUGCUAGGUUACAAAUUAUACUCUUUUUCAACAUUUUGGUAGAAAUUUUGGUUGCAUCUGCCAAACUGCCUUCUAAUACUACUUAUUUAUAUUCACACCAAGAGCAGACAUAACUUUUUCUGCCAUGGGAGAUAAUUUUAUUUAAGGGGGUAUAUUUGGAACGCCAUAGCUAAACCACCACUAACUAUAUCCAAAUGGUGCCCAAAGUUUAUACAAAUCUGCUUAAAACAUCCAGCAAUGAGUGGAUAAAUGAAUAAUAAACUAUUUUUCCAUAAACAGAGGUACACCUUUCUCUGCAUAAAUCUUUGCUACAACAUACUGUCUGCAACUUUUUCUUCCUCGUGAAGAACAAAACCAUGAAUCAAUUGCAAAUUCAAUGUAAAUUGGUUUUUUUCAGGUUUUGGGGUGAUGAUGAUAAAACCUGCAUUAGUACUGUGCUUUUAAUUUUCAAGCUACUUUUAUUAAUCUCAUUUCCUCCAUGAAGCCAUAGGAUUUUUAAAUGAAAAGAAUUUGAUAAAGUUUUAUUGGAUUUGGCUGUGUAUAAAGAUAGAUACUGAACUUUCUCCUGGUUGGAAUGUGACCUCAAGAGCAGGGACUCUCUCAUCAUAGUCUGCUCAUGUCUUUGCACUGUGUUUGACUUUUAGGAGACAAAUAAAUGGACUAAAAGAGCCUGGUUCAAGCUUUCCCUUAGUAGAACAGGAAACAGAGUGCUAGAGAGUUUGAGAUACUUAAGCAAGGAAUGAAGUUUAUUAAUGGUGUAAUCGGAAGUCUUGGCAGCCACAGUUUGCUGUGCUUUGCUGUUGCACACAGCUUUGGUCAUAUGUGGCUCUUUACUCAUAGCCAAAACGUGCCGUGAUCAAUUGGUUCUUAAAAUCGAGGGCUCCUCUGAGUAUAUUUUUUUACUGUGUGCUGAAUGCAAAGUAGCUAUUUGGUUCAAUUUUUCCCCCUAAUUUACAAUCAUCUCCCCCCACCCCCACUAACAACCACCGCCACUGUUUCAUCCAGUAAGUUAAGUAGAGAAAACACACACUCUGUCUAGGCAUCCAGCUGGAUUUCCCUAUAGUCUCAUUUGGCACAUUUCAUUGUUUUACAGCUUCUCUUCUCUCCUUUACCACAGUGCUUUCAAUUUUCUUUCUGGCAUUUCAUGCAGAUUAGAGAUUGGUGGGAAAAUACUACAUACAUAGACCUGAAAUUCCUAAUUUAUUCAGCCAAGGAGCCUGACAUUAAGGGAAGCCAGGCAGCAGUAUGGAGCAGAAUCAGAUACAGCCUGUCUAGGAGAGCUUCUCCCUGAAGCUUUGACUCACAGAUGGUGCACAGCUGCUGGUGACACUCUCUGACCUGGUUAGGAAUCCUGAGCAGAAAACACCUUGAAUACUUGCCUUCCCACUGCCUUUUAAACUUGGGACUUCCAUUGUCCAGUCCACAAUAACUCUGACAAUCCUGGCAUUCUUGUUUAAAAGGUUCAGACUGAGCUGGUUCUGGAGCCAAAUACAUUAUCAUAUAGGCCACACCCUUCUCCGAGGAAGGAAAGCAGCAUCCGUGCUUGACAGCCCUAGCACUGUGUCUCCGACCCUGUUUUCUGGUGAUCUAGAGGGCUUACUUUUUUUUUUUGUUUCAGAGAAGGAGUCUCUCUCUGUCGCCAGGC